rnacentral:rRNA from 1 species
CCUACGGGAGGCAGCAGUGGGGAAUAUUGCACAAUGGGGGGAACCCUGAUGCAGCGAUGCCGCGUGGAGGAAGAAGGUUUUCGGAUUGUAAACUCCUUUUAUCAGGGACGAUAAUGACGGUACCUGAAGAAAAAGCUCCGGCUAACUACGUGACAGCAGCCGCGGUACUACGUAGGGAGCGAGCGUUGUCCCGAAUUACUGGGUGUAAAGGUAGCGUAGGCGGGACGGCCAGUCAGGUGGGAAAACUGAGGGAUAAACCUUCAGACUGCAUUUGAAACUGCUGUUCUUGAGUGAAGUAGAGGUGAGCGGAAUUCCUAGUGUAGCGGUGAAAUGCGUAGAUAGUAGGAGGAACAUCGGUGGCGAAGGCGGCUUACUGGGCUUUUACUGACGCUGAGGCUCGAAAGCGUGGGGAGCAAACAGGAUUAGAUACCCCGGUAGUC